ACAAAUGAGGACACUGUUGAGCCAAUGGGGGUAAUGAGUUACAGAGCUGAAAACAAACCCGGAUAGAAAAUGCCUUGCAUUCAGCUCCUUCUUUUAAACCAUGGGACUGUCAAUUCUAGAACGUCUGCUGACUGCAGCUGUCAUGGUAUCAUCUAGGAAGAAAGAUCUCAUGAUUGCAAAAGGACUCAUGAUUCUUGCAUGCUUUGAGUUAGCAUUAAUAAACAUACAUCACCUCUAACUGGAGAGACCACCAGAAGUCUCUGAGGAAAGUUCAGUAUCUGAACAUACUCAGCCUGCCAACCAAGUGGAAGAUCGUAGCAAGAACCAUAAGGCAAAGUUCACAAGCAUUUGUAAGGUGUUCAGAAUAAGCAACUCAAAAAAAUACAUUUUGCUGGUUACAACUUUCAGUCAAGAGAAGCUAUAGUUGACCAAUGGCCAGGAAGUUUGCGAAUCACUCUGUAAAAUCUCUCAGUGCCACACAUGACAGAAGCCUCAGCCUCCCACAUGACACAAGCAAAGAACAGCACACAGGAGUUUUGUUGUGUGCCUGUCAUAAUGUUGCCCCAGUAAAUGAUUCCUCUUGAUCCAGAUUUAAUCCAAUAAAGAUGACAGAAUAAGACUG